CGAAAGCGUGGGUAGCAAACAGGAUUAGAUACCCUGGUAGUCCACGCCCUAAACGAUGCAUAUUUGGUGUAGGCAGUUCAUUCUGUCUGUGCCGGAGCUAACGCGUUAAAUAUGCCGCCUGGGGAGUACAAUCGCAAGGCUGAAACUCAAAGGAAUUGACGGGGGCCCGCACAAGCGGUGGAGCAUGUGGUUCAAUUCGACGCAACGCGAAGAACCUUACCUGGGCUCGAACGGCUCACGAACGUCCUUGGAAACAGGGAUUUCCCGCAAGGGACGGGAGUCGAGGUGCUGCAUGGCUGUCGUCAGCUCGUGUCGUGAGAUGUUGGGUUAAGUCCCGCAACGAGCGCAACCCUUGUCCUGUGUUGCCAUCAUUCAGUUGGGAACUCGCAGGAGACCGCCAGCGAUAAGCUGGAGGAAGGUGGGGAUGACGUCAAGUCCUCAUGGCCUUUAUGUCCAGGGCUACACACGUGCUACAAUGGCCGGUACAAUGCGCUGCUAAGUCGCAAGACGGAGCCAAUCGCAAAAAACCGGUCUCAGUUCGGAUUGCAGGCUGCAACUCGCCUGCAUGAAGCUGGAAUCGCUAGUAAUGGCAUAUCAGAACGAUGCCGUGAAUACGUUCCCGGGCCUUGUACACACCGCCCGUCACAUCACGAAAGUGGAUUGUACUAGAAGUCCGCAGGCUGACCCGCAAGGGGAGCAGCGGCCCAAGGUAUGAUUCAUGAUUGGGGUGAAGUCGUAACAAGGUAGCCGUA
rnacentral:rRNA from 1 species